rnacentral:rRNA from 1 species
UACGAAGGGGGCUAGCGUUGCUCGGAAUCACUGGGCGUAAAGCGCACGUAGGCGGCUUUCUAAGUCAGGGGUGAAAUCCUGGAGCUCAACUCCAGAACUGCCUUUGAUACUGGGGAGCUCGAGUCCGGAAGAGGUGAGUGGAACUCCGAGUGUAGAGGUGAAAUUCGUAGAUAUUCGGAAGAACACCAGUGGCGAAGGCGGCUCACUGGUCCGGUACUGACGCUGAGGUGCGAAGGCGUGGGGAGCAAACAGG